GACUACAGGGGUAUCUAAUCCCGUUUGCUACCCUAGCUUUCGCGCCUCAGCGUCAGUAUCAGCCCAGCAACCCGUCUUCACCUCAGGUGUUCCUCUUGAUAUCUACGCAUUUCACCGCUACACCAAGAAUUCCGAUUGCCCCUUCUGUACUCUAGCACAGCAGUAUCACUUGACCGUUCCGAGUUAAGCUCGGAGAUUUCACAAGUGACUUACCACGCCGCCUACGCGCCCUUUACGCCCAGUAAAUCCGAACAACGCUUGGUCCCUACGUAUUACCGCGGCUGCUGGCACGUAGUUAGCCGGACCUUACAAAUAGUACCGUCAUUUAUUCUUCCUAUUCUUACGAAGUUUACAUCCCGAGAGACUUCAUCCUUCACGCGGCGUUGCUGGGUCAGGCUUUCGCCCAUUGCCCAAAAUUCCCCACUGCAGCCUCCCGUAGG
rnacentral:rRNA from 1 species